rnacentral:rRNA from 1 species
AUGAUAAGAAGUGACAGCAGCAUCGAGUUCAAGAACUACACCUUGGAUGAGUUUCUUAGUUAUGAGGGGAUCAAGCAUCAAUAUUACGCACCUUACACCCGAAGAAAAGAUAUCCGUGGAGGCCGGUUCGUUCGUCCUAUUCUGAUAUUCAGGACCAAGAGGUACUGGAUUCUCUUUCGGAUAGGCCCUGAAAGGAGAAGAAAGGCUGAAAUGCCAAUGGACCUCUGCCUAUUCUCUAAUUCACCCGAUCCGAUAGUACUCGUUUUUGGAACGUCCAAUGCCAAAGUCACUGAAUGGGUAAGUCACCAAUCUAAUCGCUUUGACAAAUCGGAUGUCAUAUUAGAUAUCAUAUUCUCUAUAUAUAGAAAUAUCAUAGAUAUAAUAGACAUAUAG